UUAUGUGAACUGCCCACUUACCUGGCCCCACCUGCUGAGCUUGGAGGCAUCCUUCAGGUCAUAGGUACACUCAUGUCCGGGCUCAGACACAGAGAAAUUCCCUUGGUAUGAACUGCCAGGAAUCAUUGGCAUGGAUGACAUGCUCUCAGGGGAGCCUCAAAGUUUUCUCAGGAUUUUCCAAGGGCUCUCCUGUUGCUGCUUCCAGGAGCAGGCAGCAAAGCUUAGCAAGAUCAUUCCCUGUUUCUCUCUUAAAAGUCUCCCCAGCUGAGAGGCAGCUUUAUUGAUAAUUUGAUCUGUGUCACCUACAGUCACUUUCUGACCCUGGAUUCAGGAUUCUAACAAUUUAUCAUUGAGGUCACUGAUUGUAAGCACCAGACAUUGACUAUGGAGAAAAGGGGAUUUUAUUAGAGCAACCCUGGAGAGUUUGCAGAACUGAGGAGAUGGACAAUCUGACCUCAGGAAGGGCAGGAACCUGGGCAGCUGGGUAGCUGGACCCACAGCAGGUCCCUUGGAGGGCUACCAUCAUGUGACUCUGCCCCAAUCCUGGCCCCAGCCCUUGUUGGGAAGGGUAGUAUGGUUGACAGCCUCCCCAGGAUCAUGUGCAAAGAGAAUGGUGAGGUGGGGUUCUGUUGUCAUAGAAAAAAGUAUUGAAAAACCCACAGAUGCCCACUGCUGAGUUGCAUAAGGAAUAACAGAAUAAGAAAAUCAAAAAGUAACGUAGAAUUUAUUUGCUCAAUGCAACAAGUUGGGGCUUAGGAAAUCAAGACCUGGAGAGGUUAAAUAACUUUUUCAUGGCAAAACCAGGCCUCAAAUCCAGCCAGGUUCCCUGACUCUUAGAGCAGGGCUUCUUCCACUUCAUACUCUACUGUGGACAAAGGAAGAAAAUACAGGAAAAUACAAUUAAGCCUUUGGAAUCUUCUCAUCACCACUGGCAGCUGUGUUUCAAUUUGCUUCUUCUUGGAGCAUCUUUAAUAUUUCAGUGUUCAGAGUUCCCGUCGUGGCGCAGUGGUUAACGAAUCCGACUAGGAACCAUGAGGUUGCAGGUUCGGUCCCUGCCCUUGCUCAGUGGGUUAAGGAUCCAGCGUUGCCGUGAGCUGUGGUGUAGGUUGCAGACG
rnacentral:lncRNA from 1 species